UUCUUAACUUUAUCAGUAUUUAUUGCCACCUUUCCCAACUUGUUUGUUGCAUGUUGCUGGCAUCAAUUUCUAAAGUUAAUGAUUAUUUGCACCAAAAAAAUGUUUAUCAGUUUGAACAUCAAAUAUCAAUCAAUCAAUCAAUGUUUACUUAUAUAGCCCUAAAUCACUAGUGUCUCAAAGGGCUGCACAAACCACUACGACAUCCUCGGUAGGCCCACAUAAGGGCAAGGAAAACUCACACCCAGUGGGACGUCGGUGACAAUGAUGACUAUGAGAACCUUAGAGAGGAGGAAAGCAAUGGAUGUCGAGCGGGUCUAACAUGAUACUGUGAAAGUUCAAUCCACAAUGGAUCCAACACAGUCGCAAGAGUCCAGUCCAAAGCGGAUCCAACACAGCAGCGAGAGUCCCGUUCACAGCGGAGCCAGCAGGAAACCAUCCCAAGCGGAGGCGGAUCAGCAUCGCAGAGAUGUCCCCAGCCGAUACACAGGCAAACAUAUGUUGUCUUUGUAGCAUAUUCAACUGAAUAUGGGUUGAAAAUGAUUUGCAAAUCAUUGUAUUCUGUUUAUAUUUACAUCUAACACAAUUUCCCAACUCAUAUGGAAACGGGGUUUGUACUUAAUUUAAUAAUUAUUUACAUUUAUGAAAGAGUAAUUCUGUUUGUAAUAUAAUUUUUAGUCAAGUAACGACUAUUAUUAUUGCUUUUUAAAACAGAUAUUCCAAACAUUGUUAAUUGAUAAACUGUUUUAUCAGGAUAUGGUGUAUUUGCUCUUGCAUCAAUUUAAAAAGGUUCUUUUGUGGUCGAGUACCGAGGGAAGUUCAUCUCAAGACAUGAGCGGGACAAGAGACAGAAACCCUCUAUAAAUAUCUUUACUAUUUAUCUGGCAUUAUAUGCUCAUAAUGUUAACAACAAAAAGUGCUGAUAAUGUUAUAAUUAAUAAGUUCUAACAUUAUUUUUAUGUGUUUUGUUGCAGACACCAACUGUUGAUGUUCUAUCUCAACAUUCUCCAGAUUCAUGUGACCGAUAAACCGACUUCAUCCCUCCAACAGACACCAACUGUUGGGGUUCUAUCUCAACAUUCUCCAGAUUCAGAUGUGAGCGAUAAACCGACUUCAUCCCUCCAACAGGUUAUUACAAGUCUAUUUUUACUAUAUCUGCUCUAAAUGUGACCCAACCUAUAUUUUGAAAGACAUUUAUUAAUUUUAAUCUCUCACAGAUCAGUUUAUAUGACAACAUUUUCGUAAGAGUACAUCCAUGUUAGUCAGUAAGGAGUUUGGAACUCAUGUUUAGCAAAACAGGAGAUGUUACAAGUCAACAACAUACAUUCUACAUGUGACCCCUCGUCAUGUCCUUAUAUUGUUUGAACCAAGAAAGACUUAGGUGUGUUUCAUAUAAGGUCCUCAUAUUUUCUAAACCAGAUUAGUGUGUGUUACAAUGUUAAUGUCCAAGCUUUAAAAUGUGUGUCUCAAUUCAGGUCCUCAUAUUUUCUGAACCAGAUUUUAGUGUGUUUUAUAUUCUUAAUUAAUUGUCUAAGAGCUGAAACUCUGUAAUAAUCUUUACUAUUUAUCUGGCAUUGUAUGCUCAGAGUUUUAUCCACAAAAAGUGCUGAUAAUGUUAUAAUUAAUUAGUUCUGACAUUAUAUUUUUGUGUUUUGUUGCAGAAACCAACUGUUGAGGUUCCAUCUCAACAUUCUCCAGAUUCAGAUGUGAGCCAUUAACUGACUUCAUCCCUCCAACAGAAACCAACUGUUGAGGUUCUAUCUCAACAUUCUCUAGAUUCAGAUGACAGCCAUAAACCGACUUCAUCCCUCCAACAGAUUGACAGCAGGACAAAUCGCUGGAAGUAGGUAUGUCUCAAGCUUCUUCCACUUGGUCCACUCCAAAGCGGGGUAAAUAAAUAAUCCACAUCAUUUACUAGAAUAUUAUAUUACGUUUUGCACCUUUUCACUGUGUUAUAGUCAUUUUUCCUUCAGUAAGAAAUUGUAUUUUGUCUCCUUUAUGACAGCUGCAAAGGGGAAGAAGUGGAAGCAGUUGAAUGACACAUGUUGCAUUUUAUAACUGGCAACAAAGUACCAGGUAAAAAAGAUUGUGAAGCCUGCCUCCAUAAAGAACUUGUAGCUCUACAGGACAGAGAUUGGCUUGCCAUCAAGUACUACAUCCAUAACAGAAUUAUAUUAAAAAAAGGGGAAAAAAAUGUUUUCCCACAUCUUCUGUGGUAGUUUGAGUAUGUUACGAGCAAUUAAAAAAGCAAAAUAAACAGCAAGCGUUUUGUAUUUAUUCCAGAUAAUUCUUAGCGACAAAAUCCACAAAAACAAUUCAGUUACACUUAGUCGACAAUUACAUUUUUACCCAUGUUUCUUUUAAACUCUUCUUGGUUUUAGAUUACAGUAGCAUGGGAUUGGGAUUUUUUAAA